GGUGGGAGGCCGAGACGGCCCCGGGGGUCGGCGGAGACCCAGCGGGAGCAGGGGGAAAUCGGAAGAGCUGGGGGCAUGGAGCGGGCGAGUUUGGAGCGGAAUGAGCCGGGAGCCCUACGUUGUGGAAGGAAGACAACAGUAUAGGACCAUCAGCAGGACCGGACAGAGAGGGGCACCCCUGGCUGUCCUGGAACUUGUAGACCAGGCUGGCCUUGAACUCAGAAAUCCGCCUGCCUCUGACUCCCGAGUGCUGAGAUUAAAGGUGUGCACCACCACACCCGACAAGGAAGCCUGUUUUAAGAAGUGAUUCCAUGGAGGAGUUCUGCGGCGGCUCAGGGCUUGACUAAACAGUGGACCUCAGACCCGAGGGUGAAGGAUGAGGAGGAUGGAAGAAAAUGGGAGUGGCGCUUGCUGCAAAGGGUCUCGAAGGGUCUCAGCACCUGCGAACUGGCUCCAAUCCAAACUCCACUAUUCAUGGUCAAGUUCACAUAGGGCUUGGGGUUCUAACAAGAUGUGACUAAACUUACGUUUUCUAUCUUAUUGAUUGUUGUUGAUGCACGUCUGGUGGUACAUGCUUGAAGAACACAGACACCCUGAGAAGAAAGACAUAGCUCCCCAGAUUCCAGCACGCACUUCUCUGUGAGCUACCACUGUAGCUGAAGAUACAGGGCUCAGGAGGAACACUUGGCCUUCGCUCUGAACUUCAGGCCCACGUAACCAUCAGCCGACAUGACACUGCAAAGGCACCUUAGCUCUGCUGUCCCAGAUGGCCAAGCCAACCUUAUUCCAGAAGCUACUUCUCCUGAUCUUCCUUUUCCUUACCUAGUUUGGCGGACUCCAACUCUUGGGAUAGCUUUUUUUCUGGCCCCAAACUCACCUGAUUCGUCUGUCCACUGCCACACUGAAGAAUGAACAGCUGUCUCAGAGAGCUUGGCUCCAGAGCUCUGCAAAAAGAGGACACCUUGCCUUGAGCUGUGUUUCCAGAAUGUAUUGCAGCCCCCAGAGUCAUGUACUGUGACCAGGUGAGGACAUGCAUCUUCUGUUCUCCUGCACCCAGGGCCCCAGCAACCAAGGAUCUGGGGACAUGGCGGGUGUUUGGCAGGUUCGCACUCUGAAAAUAUUUGAUGAGACUCAGUAUAUGCUAAAUAAACACUGGAUCAAG
rnacentral:lncRNA from 1 species